rnacentral:rRNA from 1 species
GAUGAACGCUGACAGAAUGCUUAACACAUGCAAGUCAACUUGAACUUCGGUUUGGGUGGCGGACGGGUGAGUAACGCGUAAAGAACUUGCCUCACAGAUAGGGACAACAUUUGGAAACGAAUGCUAAUACCUGAUAUUAUGAUUAUAUGGCAUCGUAUAAUUAUGAAAGCUAUAUGCGCUGUGAGAGAGCUUUGCGUCCCAUUAGCUAGUUGGAGGGGUAACGGCUCACCAAGGCGAUGAUGGGUAGCCGGCCUGAGAGGGUGAUCGGCCACAAGGGGACUGAGACACGGCCCUUACUCCUACGGGAGGCGGCAGUGGGGAAUAUUGGACAAUGGACCAAGAGUCUGAUCCAGCAAUUCUGUGUGCACGAUGAAGUUUUUCGGAAUGUAAAGUGCUUUCAGUUGGGAAGAAAAAAAUGACGGUACCAACAGAAGAAGUGACGGCUAAAUACGU